rnacentral:tRNA from 2 species
GUUAAUGUAGCUUAAUCCAAAGCGAGGCACUGAAGAUGCCCAGAUGAGUACUACUAACUCCAUAAACA